rnacentral:rRNA from 1 species
UACGAAGGGGGCUAGCGUUGCUCGGAAUCACUGGGCGUAAAGGGCGCGUAGGCGGCCAUUUAAGUCGGGGGUGAAAGCCUGUGGCUCAACCACAGAAUUGCCUUCGAUACUGGAUGGCUUGAGACCGGAAGAGGUAAGUGGAACUGCGAGUGUAGAGGUGAAAUUCGUAGAUAUUCGCAAGAACACCAGUGGCGAAGGCGGCUCACUGGCCCGGUACUGACGCUGAGGUGCGAAAGCGUGGGGAGCAAACAGG